CGGGACGUGGCGCAGCCUGGUAGCGCGCACCCUUGGGGUGGGUGAGGUCGCAGGUUCAAAUCCUGUCGUUCCGA
rnacentral:tRNA from 1 species